rnacentral:snRNA from 1 species
GUUUUGAAAAGUAUCCAACCC